UGACUGCACAUGGCAAGGGCUAAACAGA
rnacentral:piRNA from 1 species